UACGUAGGGGGCAAGCGUUGUCCGGAUUCAUUGGGCGUAAAGAGCGUGUAGGCGGCCAGGUAGGUCGGUUGUGAAACUGGAGGCUCAACCUUCAGAGGUCGACCGAAACCCCCUGGCUAGAGUCCGGGAGAGGAGAGUGGAAUUCCUGGUGUAGCGGUGAAAUGCGCAGAUAUCAGGAAGAACACCCGUGGCGAAAGCGGCUCUCUGGAACGGUACUGACGCUGAGACGCGAAAGCGUGGGGAGCGAACAGG
rnacentral:rRNA from 1 species